rnacentral:rRNA from 1 species
CAGCAGCCACGGGAAUACGUAGGGUGCGAGCGUUAAUCGGAAUUACUGGGCGUAAAGCGUGCGCAGGCGGUUGUGUAAGACAGGUGUGAAAUCCCCGGGCUUAACCUGGGAACUGCGCUUGUGACUGCACAGCUAGAGUAUGGCAGAGGGGGGUGGAAUUCCACGUGUAGCAGUGAAAUGCGUAGAGAUGUGGAGGAACACCGAUGGCGAAGGCAGCCCCCUGGGCCAAUACUGACGCUCAUGCACGAAAGCGUGGGGAGCAAACAGGAUUAGAUACCCGAGUAGUCCCUGUCUCUUAUAC